rnacentral:lncRNA from 1 species
CGGAAGGUGAGGAGAGAGAGAGAGAGAGAGAGAGAAGAAUGGCUGGGGCCAGGUGUUUUCUCCUAGACCAGCAGGAUGAGAAUAGGAGAAGGACCAUUAUUCCUUUACACAGGUGGGAAAGACUGAGGCCCAGAGAGGGCAGUCAUGCGCUCAAGACCACACAGCCAGUCAGCACAGUCAGGGAUUGGAGCCAGGACUUUCCCUGCUGGGCCAAGGGAGGACAUGGGAGGAAGGAGGGGCUUGGAGGGGGAGCCGUCGGCUGCCCCAGAGGACAGAUGAGGAAACCAAGGCUUGGGAGGAGAAGCGGCGCAUCCUGUGGCACACAGUAGGUGUGACACAAGACAGCUGACUCUGGCUUCCAGGCUCUUCCCACAGAUCUGCAGAGCUUCUGCCCUCCCAGCCCCACCUGCCAGGACUAGGUCCUCUCCGCCGGCCCUGCAGCUGCGUUCUCUGCCUCUGCUCUGUGGACUGAUGCCUCACACGAGCUCCCUGGCCUCUGGCUUCUGGUGGGUUUGCUCAGCAGGAAGGAGCAGCAGGAGCUCUGGGGGUGGGAAGGAGAGAGAGGCUGGCAGGUUCACUCCCUGGUGCCGUCCCUGCUGAGCCAGUUGUGUUCCUGUACCGAAGGCCACUGGCCCUCUUCCACUGCCUCAGCCCUCACGUGGCUCCAGGACCGCUGCCCGCUUUGCCCUGCGGGUCCAGGGGUAGUAACUGCUCCCCACUGUUGCUGUCUCGGGGAAUUUAACCAUCCCUUCACCUGUCAUUAAACUCA